AUGAUACCCGCGCGAGCACGCGUAUGUGUGCGUGUGAGUGUGUGCAGUGUAAUUCAUAUCUCUGCUAGUAGUAUCUCUGGAUUACUGACGUGUGUGCCCGCGCUCUUAUAUCUGUGCGCUCUCGCUUUACGCGCAGUUUGAUGGCGUCGCCGCGCGCUCCUCUCUGCGUUCUCCGAUCAUCGCUUACCAUCUCACGGUUUAUGGACGGAGAGGACCAGAUAUUAUGAUAGCACAUUGUCGGGGUUGGUUCUACAAUAUUUUCGCCAAAGUGUUUUGUGGAAACUGUGUCACCGCUUGAGCUCCGAACCGAGCCGUGAGAGAUAAGAGAAGUUUGCCGGAUACAGGUGCGAUCUUUCUCUAACUCCAGCUGAUGAUCACAGACACAGAUCUGGACUGCCGGAUUCCAGUAGAUCAUAUCAGAUCUAGCGCAAGAUGAAGUCUGCCGGAGCUGGUGAUGAAGGACUCUUCACGGAGAGCUACUGUAACAUCUGCAACGCUCAGCUGAUCUCCGAGUCCCAGCGCGUGGCACACUAUGAGAGCAAGAAACACGCCAACAAAGUGCGUCUGUUCUACAUGCUCCACCCAGAAGAUGGAGGUCCACCAUCCAAAAGACUGAGACCAGACAAUCCGGACAGUGCAGAAAAUGAGGUGGACAGAAACAAAUGCUGUACGCUCUGCAAUAUGUUCUUCACAUCUGCCAUUGUAGCUCAGUCGCACUACCAGGGCAAAACACACGCUAAGAGAGUUCGCUUGGUACUGGGGGAGACGCCAAGUCUGCCUACACCCACAGAGUCAGCCCCGCCCACCCCUCAGACCACAGACCCGCCCCCUCCCACGUGGCAGCCGCUAGCCAAUCACGGCGAGGCGGGCAAGUACUGCUGCUUGUGUGGCGCCUGGUUCAACAACCCACUGAUGGCACAGCAACACUACGAAGGCAAGAAACACAAGAGAAAUGCGGCACGGGCGCGACUGCUGGAGCAGCUGGCUGGCAGUCUGGAUGCCAAUGAAAGCACAGGCCUGCGCCGGAGUUACUCGUGCAGCGUUUGCAAAGUGGUGCUGAACUCCAUCGAGCAGUAUCACGCACAUCUCCAGGGCUCCAAACACCAAAACAAAUGAAGCCCAUUCUCCUGCAGGCCAGCGAGCUGUCCAACCUCAGCCAAAGACAGAGAAAAGCAACCAAAGGCACACCAAUACUUCACCAGGAUAUCGAGAGAUGAGUCAACAGCUGACAGGGUUUUUUAAAGCUCAUGUAAAUAGGGACCCAGGAGCGUCCAGAGCGAGUCUGGCCUCACAGCGACGCUGAAGGGGAAGGCUGAUGUCAGUUCCUCUUUCUUCUGCUGUCACUCCAGCGGAUUGGAGCAGAUACAAGAGGAUCGUGACCCCUCUGGCGCCCUCACAUACAAACACCUCUGACUCAUUUUGGCAAUGGCUGAUUGUGAUGGCAGAUCCUCUUCACCUGGGAUGUCAGGGUUGGCACAGUUUCCAAGUUUAAAACAACAUCAGCAAUGAAGAACUGGAAAUGCUGGAGCUGAAACAGGAGAAACAGAGCGUUUCAGGAAUUUACAGAACUGCACAAACUAAUUGUGAACUCAUAAGAAAAGGCGUCAUGUUUGGCCACAGGAAUUGUUCACCUACAACAUCUGAGGUUCCUCAAAUGUCAAGUGUUUUAUAUUUAUAUUCACAAUCAAAAGCUCAAAGAUCGAUCUACUUUGGGAGUAUCGUCCAUCCUUCCAUGAGCAUAAAGGAUGCCUAUGAUCAAUCCAGUGAUAUUCAUCAUGUAACAUGAGCUCACCAGCCUGAAAAGACAUGCAGUGGUCCUGCUACUUUUAUUUUUGCCUUUCAAACUCUUGUAUGCAGUGGCCUGUCAUUUUCUCUGCUCUUCAAAUGAGAUAUCGCUGCUUUGGUUGUUGGCUUUGACAUGCCGGUGACAGAAAGAGAUCAUCAACCUUUUACAGUGAUUUUGUUGAGUACGUGUCUCACUUGUGUGUGAAUGCUGCCAGUGAGGAAUCAAUUCAACUGCCUUUGUGUGAGAUCUCUCUCGGCUGUGGUCAAAAACAAUAUUUCAGCACUAAUUUCAGCACUGUUACCACAGACAAAACGUCCUGUUUAUUCACACUACAGUCAGUGUUGCAUAGGACAGAACAUUCCUAUAGAGCUGUGAUGCUGCUUAACCACUGAUGUCAAACGGAAUGUGCCAUCAAUAUAAAGGAGUCCAGACGCAAAGAGUUGGCAUUUUUCACCCUGACUCAAUCAUGGAUGAUUCACAUGGACGUAAAUGUGUGAACCAGGCUCUGAGCUUUAUCUAAAUCUAUGCCAAAAUGACUGCCUGUAAAACCAGAGCUCAGUGCCUGCUGUUUUAAGAAUGAAUGCUCUUUUUUGCUUUUCUGAUGUGGCAUAACAAGUGGUGUUUUUCUUGUUAUCUUAGAAUAUAUGGUAGUUACUAAACUAAAACAGACCUGAGGCCUCAUUUAUAAAGACAUUUCCUAAAUGUUCCUAUGAUUCCUAAAAAAAAAAAAAAGUCCCAAAUCCAUCCUUAUUUUGGUAUCCUACAAAAAUCCCACAAAUAUCCUUUAGUAGGAGAGUGUCAGAAUCAUAAAUUAUCCAUGUUUACAAGCACAUCAUAAUUUGAUUCAAAAUCAUAUUUUCACAAAAAUGUGUACUUGACAUAAUAAAAUCUCUUGUUAUUUUUCAGUAGGUUUUCGAAUCUUUUUUCAGGAAGCAGAUUUUUUUUUUUAAAUCAUUAGCAUUUGUCCAAAAAUAUAAUUCAUAUCAGAAUAUUAAUGUGAAUGUAAACAUUGUCGCUCAUUUAUUCAUUUAUUCAGGCAGUAACUCAUUUGCAUAACUUAAACUUGUCAGAAAAUUCAGCGCAAAAAACGACAGAAAUACUGAUCAGAUGGCGAACAUUUUCACAUCAGUUUCUGCCUUUAUAAAUGCCAGUUUGUUCAUUACGUCAAUUCAUGGGAUUUAGUAUCAAGCAUGUGCAUAUUAUAAAUGAGGCCUUGGUCAGAAAAGCGUGACAUUUAUGCAAAUCUGAGUAUUACAGUAGCGACCAAGCCAGAUGUUUUAACAUGGUAUGGUAAAGUAAUGCAAAAAAAUAUUUUGUAAAUAAUCGAUACACAACAAUAUUGUUUAGUUUCACCCUUCAACUGCUAGUCCAGGAUAAUUAUUGUGAAGUAUCUACUUGACAAGAUUUUUGUGUGCUGCUUUCUGAUUAAUAUGCGGUUGAACUGAAAUCCUGAACACUCUUGGGCUUUUACAAAACAUCUGUUAACGGCCAUUGAAGACACAAUGUUUAUGUCUAACCACAAGGAUGUCUCUGUUGAAAGAAGUAACAUGUAAUUUACUGUGAGCUAGACUACUGAAUAGCUGUAUAUGUGAUGUCUUGGUUUCCAGUAAAAAUGUUUAAAGAUUAGAUGACUUUAAAAAUAACUUUGUUUUGAUAAAGUAUUUGCUGGAAAACAAGAUAAAAAUACUGAUUAAUAAAGUUAUUUUUUGCAGUGCUGUUGGCUACAGUGUAAAAGGACUCAGGAUUACAGGAACCCGUUUGGACACGGUUUCACGAAUAAUACCAGAAAGCUACUUCAGAAACACAAAGCAUCAGGACAAAGGACAGUACAGACACAAAAGUGUGAUUCAUUUGAUGUGAAGUGUGGAGUGGCGCAGAUCUUUGAGAACAAACUCAGGCUGUUAAGAUGUAUCACUUUGUAUCAGUUCUUGUUUCACCUCAUCUCAGUCUUUAGCAUUUUGCUGAUCAUAUAAAGUCAAAUAUCAGUCUUGCUGUCCAUGAAAUGGAAUGCAAUUUCAACUACAAAUGGAUUACAAAAUAUUUUAUGGUCAAUAUAUGCUAUGGGCUAGAAAUGAUAUAUUUAUUAUGAAAAAAAAUAUAUAUUAAAUGCAAACUAUGAAAGCAUAUAUGUAAACUGAAAGAAUUGUGAUUUUCCUGUGAAAUAGUGAGAAAUGAAGUCUGUACUGUGCACAUUUGUAAAUACACUUGAUGACGA